CUGCCACAGAGCUUGUGGUGGUCAGCAGUGAGCCUGAGCCAGCUCAGGGAGGGUUGGAGUCUGGCUUGAGGAUUCUUCUGAAGCAGUUGACUAGCUGGCUUUUAUUGCAAGACAGAGAACACAAGAUCUCUUCACUGAUCCUGCAAGGAGCAGCCUUCGAUGGUGAGCAAAGAAGCAGUACCGCAGUCCCCUCUCGGGAGCAGCACCUGGCUCUAGAAUGCUGCCGUGAAUGUCUUCAACUCUCUGCAUUGUAUGUAUUGAAGAGAUUGGAUAUGCUGCACUUGCUGAUCUAAGUAUCCAUGGAAGGUUACAAGGAAAUGCUCCAACAUGCCCCAAGAAACUGCCACAACCAAUACACCCAAUAAAUAAUUCAACCAAGAGACCCAAGCCACUAUAAAUAAACCUAAAGCCCCAAUAAACCAACUUAUAAACCUGAAGCCUCCCAAAUAAACCACCACAACCAAUUAACCCAAAGCCCCAAUAAACCAACUAAUCCAAAGCCCCGAUAAACAAACCCACUGCCCAGCCAAUAAAGUGAAAUGCUCAUGAUGCAGCUUGUGGUAGAGACUUUUACUGACAGUGUCCUGAACUUGGUUUGUGCAGCAUCCAUGAUGGACACAACAGCCUCUGUUUUUCAGGAGGAGCCCCGGAAGGGGCAGAGAGAAGAACUAGCACAGGCCCAGCCCUGGCAGCAGCACGAUCAUCUAGAAUGCCAGAAACCAGCUCUGCUCCUCCCUGCCACUGUUAAUAUGUAUUUUGACUGGAAGUGUUUAGAUCUCUCUCUUGUGGCACACAUACCAUGGACGUAACCUUGGUCUCUUUUGCAGGAGCAGGCUUUGAAGGGGUUGAAAGAAGCAAGACCACGGUGCCUCCCUCAGCAGCUCUCUCUCUCUCUCUCUCUGGCAGUCGGCUCCUGGUGUUCUGCAGGGCAGCCUUGGAAGUGAUGGGAAGAAUUCGUGUGGUCCAUGAUGAAGGAAAACCAGGUUCUAGCUGGUCCAGGCCUGUGCACGUCGAUAGUUGGCAAUAAAUGCCCUGCCCUCUUUGCCCACGCUGGUGCACUCUUUUCCUUCUGUCAUGGGGCUGCAGCUGGCUAGGGAAUUGGUAGCAAAGGUUUGCCUCUCCCUGCGAUUUGUUGGAUGGGUGGCACGUUGUCCUCACCACCACCACCACCACAAACCAAUAAAUCCUAACCUGCAACUUCAGCCUGUUCAGCCAGCCCCUUGGACUCCCUCAGCCAGGAGUGAAGCAUAAGGCCACCCUGCUGCCAUCUGCCUUGACCCUCAUGCUGGGUCUCCCCCUCUUUGACUUUGAAGACUCCCUCUGAAGAAUAUGGCUACAAGCUCAUCUUUUUCCUCAAAGAAAAAUCUGUGUCUUCCAAAGCGAGACACUCUUUCUUAGUGAAAAAACUGCUCCAGCCCCUCUCUUUGGAUCCGGGAGCCCAGCUCUGUAACUGGAUACCAGCGCAUACCAAGAAAAAACUCAGCCAGUCAGAACAACUGGGGUAGUGGUGAGCACCAGCUCGCAGCUUACAGCACGGGGCACAUCCAUGCAGCUUGGGAGGAACUUCAGUCGGACAAAGAAGCAGGCCAAGAACGGAGUGAGGCGGCGAAGGCUAAGUUCUGUCCCCAGGCUAACCAGCCAUGAGCUCAAACGGUUGCCAUUAUUGUGAUCAGCCAGUUCACAGGGGAAACAAAGGAGAGGAAAAGGAGUGCCCAUGAUGUCCAUCAGCCAUGGGGCCUUGGCGCAGUGGCCAGCCGUGAUGAAAACUCCCAGGGCCCCAACAUGUUAACUCAGCGGAGCACUUUUGGAACUGGCUUCUUGUUGGUUGUCUGUGUCUUGUUCUGUAAAGGGAAAUGUUGUUGAUCCUCCAGUAAAUAUUGGCACAGUAUGUUUGACUGAAUGUUACUGACAAUGCAGUGAGAAAGGUCCAUAGUACCUCACAGUCUCACAACCCGCCUCUGCGUAGGUUGGGCUCUUGUAUGUGAAAAUGUGUUUGUAAUGUGACAGCACUUCUGUAAACCUUUUGGGAAAGGACUUCUCUGCAAAUUGAACACCAUUAUUCACAAUUAUCUGUGGACAUACCACAUAAUUGGGCUACUAAAUUAGUUAUGGGCUCAGCAACAGAAGGGGCUUCUCAGCAGUGCCUUGGGUGGCCAACUGAGGCACUGGAUGACAGGCCUCCUUCUUUGUGGGCCUCCCCUGAAGAAAAAGGGAGCGCUGCUUAUGGCUGGACCAGAUACAUUACCCCUAAGAAGGGCAAGCUCUACUUUUCCCCCUCAUGGUAUCAAAUUUAUUGUGGGGUUUCUGCAGCUGUCUUUGCGACUGCUAAUAUGAUUUUCCACUACAGUAUGGACGAUGUUUCUGAUAUUGCAUUUCUGUUUUGGUGCUACAUCCAGGAGGCCCACAGGUGGCAUCAGGCUGAGAGAACAGUGUGAACAACACAAUGCUCCACCCCUUGGGUUUCUAGUUGGGAGCUGUAAAGCCACAUGUCUUUGUCUAAGCCUCUCUAUGCUUUGCUUUCUGAGUCUGAGCAGAAAGAAGAUGUGAUGGCAUCCCAGUCUUGGGAGCAGCAGGAUCAGCUAGACUGCUGGAAAGCUCCUCCCUGCUGGUGGUGAUGGUAAGGAUUUCUACAGGUAGUGUUGGGUCUUCACUGUUGUGACAUGAGCAUUGUAGACAUCUGUUUUGCAGGAGCAGGCUCUGAAGGUGUGGAAAGAAGCAGUACCAGGGUCUCAAUCAGUAGGGGCAUCUUCUCUGUGCCCGAUGUUGCAGAGGAGCAGCUGCAGAAGUGGCAGAAACGAUCGGUGCAGCCACAGCCUCAGCCUCAGGUGCAACACGAUUCUCGGACACAAGAAACCUCUGUGACUGGUGGCAGACAUGCUUGACGUUUGGAUCUUGUCACGAACCCAGCUCUGACCGAGAUGACUCACAGGCCAGUGUGGACGCCCUCAAAAACCCCUUGCCUGUGUUGUAGCUGGCUCUGUAUUGAGGCUUCUCUUCGCCUGCACUGUUGGCAGAAGCACCUUGCAGGAUGUCUUGCUUCCCAUUCCUGUCCCCUGCUCUUGGAUGUCUCCGCUCCUGACACUCAAACUCUGACUUUGCCUGCUUCGAAUGGACUGACACUUUCCUUCAGCCUCGCACCCCUCUUGCCCAGCCGGGACAGCCAGAAGAUGGACACUGCUCAGCCUUGGCUCUGCUGCCUUGGUCAGCAUUGUGGUCUUCCUUUCCUGAGUACCUGAUAAUCUGCCUCUCCGGCCACUAACUACAUCAGUGUUGUCUUGGAGUCUCCUGUGAGAGGAGAGACGCUGUGCCCCUGGGGCUUAUAAAGAGGGAGGGCGUUCCCCCAAGAGGCACACUGGAUCUAGUCUUCCACCAAGUGAGAGUACCUGUGACUCUAUCCAUCACCUGCCCUGCCUAGCAUCCCCCCCCCCCGGUCUGAGGAAGCACCAGCUGCCACUGAGGGAUGGGCCUUGUCUGGGGCUACGCUGAGACUCUGGAAUCCAUUCCCUGCAGAAAUCAGAGCCUCCCCAUCUCAGACUACUUAAGACAUUGGACACAUUUCUUCACCCAAGCUUUUAAAGUAGAUGUGGCUUUAACUUCCUGGUCUUUGACUGUAAUAAAGAUGUGUAUCUGAAGGUUUUAGUUGA